UACAGAGGUGGCAAGCGUUGUUCGGAAUUACUGGGCGUAAAGGGCGCGUAGGCGGCCUUCUAAGUCAGACGUGAAAUCCCCCGGCUUAACCUGGGAACUGCGUCUGAUACUGGGAGGCUUGAGUAUGGGAGAGGGAUGUAGAAUUCCAGGUGCAGCGGUGAAAUGCGUAGAUAUCAGGAGGAACACCUGCGGUGUAGACGGCUUACUGGACCAUCACUGACGCUGAGGCACGAAAGCGUGGGUAGCAAACAGG
rnacentral:rRNA from 1 species